AUUGAACGCUGGCGGCAGGCCUAACACAUGCAAGUCGAACGGUAACAGGAAACAGCUUGCUGUUUCGCUGACGAGUGGCGGACGGGUGAGUAAUGUCUGGGAAACUGCCUGAUGGAGGGGGAUAACUACUGGAAACGGUAGCUAAUACCGCAUAACGUCGCAAGACCAAAGAGGGGGACCCUCGGGCCUCUUGCCAUCGGAUGUGCCCAGAUGGGAUUAGCUUGUUGGUGGGGUAACGGCUCACCAAGGCGACGAUCCCUAGCUGGUCUGAGAGGAUGACCAGCCACACUGGAACUGAGACACGGUCCAGACUCCUACGGGAGGCAGCAGUGGGGAAUAUUGCACAAUGGGCGCAAGCCUGAUGCAGCCAUGCCGCGUGUAUGAAGAAGGCCUUCGGGUUGUAAAGUACUUUCAGCGGGGAGGAAGGGAGUAAAGUUAAUACCUUUGCUCAUUGACGUUAUCCGCAGAAGAAGCACCGGCUAACUCCGUG
rnacentral:rRNA from 1 species